rfam:Heterocephalus glaber contig138677, whole genome shotgun sequence.
CCAUAGGUUUUCAUAAAAACCAUCCAAUCAACUUUCACAAUGAUA